AGCCUCCUUCUGCUUACCACAGGCUGUGUUCUUAUGCUGAUUGUAUAGAUAAAGAGGAAGGAAAGUAAACCUACCCCAUCUCCACUUCAACCCAGGUCCUGUGCCUGGUCUGUAUUGUGAGUGGUAAGACAUGG
rnacentral:snoRNA from 1 species